AGAAAGGAAGACAAACAGAGAGAAAGAAACACUAGGUCUGGCAAUUAAUGGACCUUUUGGUUGGCAAUCGGCUUGUCUCCAGCAUUUCAGAGCCCGGCUGAGCGGGCCAAGAGCAGGAGGGUGGGUACAGGACAUCUCGGCCCUCUGUCUCCACGUGUAAAAGAUGUGCUUUCUCUAGGCACAGGAUAGAAAGCAGGGAUCUGUUAUCAGGCUAUCUUGAAGGAGGUAGAGACAUAAAAAAGUCCACACAAGGACUGCAGCUGGUGCUGCAGACAAAUCUUAUGUUCCAGCUACAAACACUCGAUAGAACUGCAUGAUUCGUCAUACUGCGGGUUUCAGCACCAGUGUUUAACCAUUUUAUGAUUCACACCUUCCUGCAGAGGUUGCAGUGCCAUGGUUACAGUACAUCUACAGAACAGCUCAGAGGCCUUACAGAGCUGCUGAUUUUUAGAGAGACUGCAGAGAAAGCUCAUAGUUUUGUAACAUCAACUCAGAAGAACGACACCUCAGGAGCACUGCUGCACACAGCCUGUCUGCAUUUUAACCUCCACACCUCACCCUCCUACUGAAAUUCUCCGUUCAAAGUUCCACUAGCUGCAUAGCGCUACUGUUCAUUGUGGGCAAAGUUCGUGGCUUCAAAGACUUGUGGGUCUUGGAACUUAAAGAACUUGUGGGUUAUUGCAGAAACACUAGCCACUGAAGUGCCCCCCAAACUCAUGCCAUUGCUGCAAAGGAAGCUUGCAAACCAGUAUGGCAACAGCCUUAUGAAGAUGCUACAUGAUUGCCAUGUAUUUUGAAUGUAUAUGAAGUGCUUUGCUGUAUGUAAACAUGGUGAUCAUCUAAGGCUGCAAAGAAAGGUGCUAACUGUGUUUUUCGUGCUUAUGGAAGACAAGUUUUGAAGUCUUCAUGUAGCCCUUUUACCCAGACAAAAACAGUUGGCCUGCUGCAGCAAUUCCCUUCUACACGCUGCUGAGAAACCAGACCAGUCCUACAUGACUCCAAAUGGUUCACACCUUGGUUUGAAGACUUCAGCAAGCAGCAGCUCUGCUGUCCAAGGAGGAAGAAAUAAGCAGGUUCCCCCACCUGCCUGAAUAGGAGAGUGCGGACAAUGAAACAUGCUAUUGCAGCAUGAAGACAUGAAGUGUGUGUCAUUUCUGUCUCUAACAACCGACUCCACGUAACAUGUGGUGGCCCGUGCGAGGAAUGGACUCAGCCAUUUUAAAUAACUGUGGUAUUGCGGGAAGACAAGAACAGCAGCAGAAUAUUGCCACAGGCAGCAGAAUUGCUGUUGAACAGCAGGUAUGACAGUAGAAAAGCAGUAGAAAUUGCCACAGGCAGCAGAACUGCUGCAAACAGCCAAUGGGAUGGUGGAUAGUGGUGCAAUAUUGCUGCAGCAAAAAUUGCUGUGAACAGCUGGUGGGACAGCAGAAAGUGGUGGAAUUACCACAGGCAGAGGAAAAUUGCUGCAAAAUCCCAGCGAUAAAUGGCAGAGUGUGCCACAUGGUUUCAAAUCCCCCUUUGUAGAUUGGAAUCACUGCUAGGAACAUGGGAGCAUGGGCUUCCCUCCAAGUAAGAACUUUUCUUUUUAAUAUUAUGGCAAAAGCAGUGACUAGAAUGCCAGUGCCGGUCACUCAAAAUGGCGAUGAGCACAGGGUGCAAGAGACACUCACAAAAAAUGUCAGAGAAGCUGGGAGCUCCACUGUUGGAAUUUGGGACUGUGAAGAGGGAUGGAUGUACAACCCUCUCAGAGGUCUCAAGUGUUCUCAUGUUCUCAUAUUUUUCUCAUGUCUUUCAAUUAAUUCACAACAAAAGAAACAACAUAUGGAACAACAAAUUGCUUUUCCUGUUUACAAAUUGAUUCAUCUGUAAGGUUGGUUCUUCUCACAGUUCUAAAGUUGAAUGUUUUGAAGUUAUAAUUUCAGUUUGGUGUUAAGAUGUAACUCUGUUUACAAAUUGUUUUUCUAGUAGUUGUGUUCUUUCUCAAGGUUCUAAAGGUUAAAUGGUCUCUUGCUUUUAGUGUUAAGUUGCAACAUAACACUAAACUUUGUAACUUAACUUUGUAACUUAACUUUUUAACUACACUUAACUUUGUAACUUCUAAGAAAAAUAGCCUGUGACAUAUUAGCCUGAAAGAUUGUAAAAUUAGUAGUUCUCACCUAACAGCUCAUAGACAUGAAUGCUGCAGCUCCAGUGAUACAUGGCCUCAUGCAAAUUAAACCCAUGCUGUCUUCUGUCACCCUGUUUGCAAAGGGCCCUUGCAGAUAGGCAACAAAGAGCAGGUCACAAUAUUUAACAAAGAAAGAAAGGAGAUACUACAGUACAAGCUGGCUUGUACUGAGCAAUUAAUUUGGCUGUAAAUAAGAAACCCAGCUUGGUUCCACAAACAAGUCCCUGGCUGAGAGAUGAUAAGAUAGAUUUUAAUACAUACAGGGACUUCACGCAAUCGCGUUCCACUCUAAGUGGCAGACGUCUCACUGGUUGGGGAGCUAGGUGGUGUUAAAGUCAGAUCAAUGAGCUAUCUAGACCAAGAGAUUCAAAAUCUGCAAUUUCAGGAGAGUGCGGACAAUGAAACAUGCUGCUGUCCCAUGAAGACCUAGAGUAUGUGUUGUCUGUAUCUCCGACCACCGACUCCAUUAAACAGAUCACCAGCCUGGAGGUAUAAAGUAUCGUUUUAGUGCGGCAUCCGUAGGGAGGUAAGGAAAGGAGAUGUGCAUGGCAUAUUAGGAAUACGUGGUAGCACAUAGGACCAAAGGCCUUCAUGUGAAAGGACUCCUGGCAGCUGACUUCUGUUAUGAUCCAGUUAUUAAAAUUAUUAGAGACAUGCCUCUGCUUGAAUUAAGGUGCAAAUGAGACCAUAUGCUGAACUCAGUAGUAUCAAUUUUAUUUAACAGUGAAUAUGAGAGGGAGGGGGGAGAAGGGAGAGUGAGAGAGAGAGAGAAAGAAAUAGGAGAAUAGUGGGGGAGAGAAAGAGAGUGACAGAGAUGACAGAUUAAGUAGAAAAUAUCACCACCCUCUGGAUCCCAAUGGUCUCCCCAUUGAUCCUCUUCUUCUGGUCUUCUUGGUGGUGAGAGUCCUGCAAAACAGAGUUCAAUGGAUUAAUAUACCUUUGGGCCAGAUGGGUAUGCCCGGCUACCUCCCCUAGGAGCAGGGGGCAAGUUUGACAUUGUCUCUUGCAACAGACUCUGCAUCUGUUGCAUCAGUUUGCAUAGCAGGCAAUCCUCUGGUGCAAAGUCUCAGGAAUGAGUCUGAGGGACUCUUUCGGGGUCUAAUGGUUUAUGAAACCUCCUCAGCUGCCUCUCAAUAUGAAUGUCCUGUGUGGAUGGGGCCUUCCCAGGGUGUGGGGGAGUUUACAACUGAGUCAGUUAGUGUAAGGGAGGAUGGGUGUUAUCUUUCUCUGACUAGAGACUACACCCCACACACAAAACUCCCCUCCUUUCCCCCUUGGUUGGGGUAGAGUGUAUGCAAACCUGGCCUCAGGAAAUGAGUUUAUGGGCUAUGGCCUCCCCACCCCAAACCCAGCCACAGCUGAUUUUCAGGAAAGCUGCUGGGUUUGGCUUUCUUUGUAGAUACAUUCUUUUCCCUUAGCCUUGUUACUUCCUCCUAGACCUGAGAUUAUUGGAUAUUAGUGUCACCUUUAUGUUAUCUCAAGUUCCCUUUAGGUGGCUUAACUCACAGUCCAAACUUUCAGUCAAGAAGAAUAUUGAGGGAGGGGAGGACUUAGGUGGUGGUAACUCCUUUAUAGUUUUGCCAUAAUGGGCAAAAAAAUCUUUCAUAACAAUGUUUGAGCCAUUAACCAUAACAUUUCAGUCUGACACAACUUCUCAUUUGCUUGCAGCAGGCAACCUAUUUUUGGUGAAGAAUUUAGCUGUAAACUAUAACUUGCCUCAAAGUUUCUGAACAUCCAUAGUUCUGCCUGGAAAAUCUGGAUAAGUAGUAGUAAAUGCUGCUGGGGUCCCCAGUAUGAACAAAAAGCAUUUCCAACAUCCACGUGAAAUCCAACAUAUUGGGCUUACCAUGUUACCAUGUGUGGCAGCAACUCUCUGGCCACAGAGAGCAGGCACAGACUUUCCCAGGCAUUUUCCUGGGGAAGGCUGUGAGAAAAUCAGAGAAAAGAAUGAGAACUAAUUCUUAUCUCCACUUGCUGCACCUGUUGUUCUGCACAUGUGGAAUGUGUUAUGGAGAUUUGUUUACCAAAGGGUGAUUUUUUAAUUGGACACUGGAUGGUGUUUGGGUUGAUUGACCAAGUAGGUCAAAGCUGUAUCAGACUGUUUGUAAGGGUUACGAGCUUCUUAACAGAUAUAGUAUAAUAUAGAAUAGAAUAAAGCAAUUGAUCAGCCUUCUGCAACAUGGAGUCAAUGCUAAUUAUUACCCAGCUGGGGGCCUGUGGUGACAACCAUGUAUGUAUUUUUCAGAACUAUACUUCUAACCAGCACACAAGGCACUUGUUCCAUUGCAUCUGUAACAUGUACAGCUGACAUGUGGUGGAUCUAACAAAGAGCAGUGACAUUCCUGUGAUUUCUAGUCAACUCUUCCUACUUUCUGUAAUUUCAAGGAAAAGAAUACAAGAGGAUUCUACCAAUGUUUGGACACAGAAUUUACUGCAAUAAGAGUAAACAUUUUCCCAAGAAAGAUCUUAAAGUUUAAUCACAAGGGACUUUAAAUAGAUCAUUGUAACCAGUACUCUUUCCUUCCCUUAUCAUGUAAACCACAUAAAAUAAUUCACUGCAUAGUAUAAAACUGUACAGGAGGACCAUGCCAGAUAAAUUACCACUUGGAUGUCCUCCCAAUACUGAGAAGAGGCACUAAGAAUGAUACUUAAGAAAUUACACAUAAAAAAUCUUUGAUGCCAUGGUAACAGAAUGAAGAACCAAAGCCCCUCUCAGAGUUAUUUUUAUAAUCAAAAGAAAGUUUACCUCUAAAUUAGCAAUGAUGAGUGGCAACAGAGCUGCUUUCCAAUAUCUGACAAAUCAGAGAAAAAGAAAAUAAGGUCUAAAAAAAAAGUAUUGCAGUACUGAAGAAAUAUGCACAGAACACUCAUAAAAUAUGGUAAAGAAGGAGAAAGUUUUAGAAGGGAGACAAAAAUAUAUCAUUGGCACGCUGAACUAGAUGUUGACUCACCCAGGUUCCUCCACAAUAUCCACGAGACUAUAAGAAACAGAAGCUUUCUGUGUCCUGUAGUACACUCACCUGAAAAAAUAUAUUUAUUUUCAGCCCUCUGAAUACUAUGCAGUGAUAACCCAGUAGAUGAGUUCAACUGUUAUGUCUGGAUUUGUCUUAUACUAGAGCAAAAAUCCAAAAGGGCAGGUGAAAAUUGAACAGAAAAGCAAAAAUUAGAAUAUUCUUUGUCAAAUUCCUUUACUGUCAAUUUAUGUAACAGAAACUCAUAAUUCUGCAGAAUGUGUGUGUGUGUGUGUGUACACAUAUCUGUAUAAAGAGGGGAGGGAGAGAAAGAGAGAGAAGUAAAAUAAGAGAAUGUUUGGUUUUACCAGAUAGCCAAAGGUAAAUGACUCCACUAUGACUAACUGCAAGUGAUCAUAGAGCUGGAAGCCCAGUUAAACAGGGUUUCUUAAGGGUCUACACUGAGACUGACACUGUUUCACAUCAUCACCAAUGGCCUGGAAAAGGGGACAGAAGGGCCCUAGGACCCUGAACAAGUUGGCAUAUGACACAAAACUGGACGGAGCACAUGACAUUCAGAGGCAGGCCUGUGUCGGAACCCAGGACUCUCCUCUGGGUGCCCUGGAUGGCCAGAGCUGCUGGCGGGGGCUCUGAGACCCUGGCACGCAGCCAAAGACACACGUGGGGUUUUGAUCUUAG